GAGUUUGAUCCUGGCUCAGGAUGAACGCUAGCGGGAGGCUUAACACAUGCAAGUCGAGGGGCAGCGCGAGGUAGCAAUACUUUGGUGGCGACCGGCAGACGGGUGAGUAACGCGUAUGUAGCCUACCCUGUACUGGGGGAUAACCCGGAGAAAUUCGGACUAAUACCCCAUAGAGAUAUAGAGAGGCAUCUUGAAAUAUUUAAAGUUUCGACGGUACGGGAUGGGCAUGCGUAACAUUAGCUAGUUGGUAAGGUAACGGCUUACCAAGGCUUUGAUGUUUAGGGGUCCUGAGAGGGUGAUCCCCCACACUGGUACUGAGACACGGACCAGACUCCUACGGGAGGCAGCAGUGAGGAAUAUUGGUCAAUGGGCGAAAGCCUGAACCAGCCAUCCCGCGUGCAGGAAGACGGCCCUAUGGGUUGUAAACUGCUUUUCCAGGAGGAGAAACUCUCGUACGUGAUACGGGAUUGACGGUACCCUGGGAAUAAGCAUCGGCUAACUCCGUGCCAGCAGCCGCGGUAAUACGGAGGAUGCAAGCGUUAUCCGGAUUCAUUGGGUUUAAAGGGUGCGUAGGCGGACUAUUAAGUCAGUGGUGAAAUCCUGCAGCUUAACUGCAGAACUGCCGUUGAUACUGAUAGUCUUGAGUUU
rnacentral:rRNA from 1 species